AGCAGCCGCGGUAAUUCCAGCUCCAAUAGCGUAUAUUAAAGUUGUUGCAGUUAAAAAGCUCGUAGUUGAAUUUCGGAAUCAAUGCGUCGGUCGUGCUUUCGGGUACGUACUGGUGUCAUUGGUUUCUCCUUUCUGACGAGCCGUGAUGUCAUUAAUUUGGUGUUACGGGUAGUUAGGACUGUUACUUUGAAAAAAUUAGAGUGUUUAAAGCAGGCUCACGCUUGAAUACAUUAGCAUGGAAUAAUGAAAUAGGACGUUUGAUUCUAUUUUGUUGGUUUCUAGGAUUGACGUAAUGAUUAAUAGGGAUAGUUGGGGGCAUUAGUAUUCAAUUGUCAGAGGUGAAAUUCUUGGAUUUAUUGAAGACUAACUACUGCGAAAGCAUUUGCCAAGGAUGUUUUCAUUAAUCAAGAACGAAAGUUAGGGGAUCGAAGACGAUCAGAUACCGUCGUAGUCUUAACCAUAAACUAUGCCGACUAGGGAUCGGAUGAUGUUAAUUUUUUAAUGACUCAUUCGGCGCCUU
rnacentral:rRNA from 1 species